rnacentral:tRNA from 7 species
AGGGGUGUAGUUCAAUUUGGUAGAGCAUCGGUCUCCAAAACCGAAAGUUGUAGGUUCAAAUCCUUCCACCCCUGCCA